rnacentral:rRNA from 1 species
UAGAGGAAGUAAAAGUCGUAACAAGGUUUCCGUAGGUGAACCUGCGGAAGGAUCAUUACCGAAUUGUCAACACGAGCUGUUGCUGGUCCUCAGACGAGGGCAUGUGCACGCUCUGUUUACACAUCCACUCACCCCUGUGCACCCUCUGUAGUUCUAUGGUCUGAGGGGCUCUGUCCUCUCGCCGUGGCUCUAUGUCUUUACACACGCACUGUAAUAAAGUUUCAUGGAAUGCAUGACGCGUUUAACGCAAUACAAUACAACUUUCAGCAACGGAUCUCUUGGCUCUCGCAUCGAUGAAGAACGCAGCGAAAUGCGAUAAGUAAUGUGAAUUGCAGAAUUCAGUGAAUCAUCGAAUCUUUGAACGCACCUUGCGCCCUUUGGCUAUUCCAGAGGGCAUGCCUGUUUGAGUAUCAUGAACACCUCAACUCUCACGGUUUGCCGUGAUGAGCUUGGACUUUGGAGGUCUUGCCGGCCUGUGGUUGGCUCCUCUCAAAUGAAUCAGCUUGCCAGUGUUUGGUGGCAUCCCAGGUGUGAUAACUAUCUACGCUUGUGGCUUUCCACCAGGUAACCUUCAGCGAUGGAGGUUCGCUGGGGCUCACAAAUGUCUCUCCUAAGUGAGGACGGCUUCUUGAAUGUU